ensembl:snoRNA
UGCCUUUAUGUGUUGCCCUUUCAUUGCUACUUUAGUGAUUGGGGUGUCAAAUAAGGCAUACAGUGACACUUGUGGUUGUCUGUGAAAAGAGCUUCAAGUGACUCAUUUACACAAACACCUGCAAGGACACAC